AACGAACGCUGGCGGCAUGCCUAACACAUGCAAGUCGAACGAGACCUUCAGGUCUAGUGGCGCACGGGUGCGUAACGCGUGGGAACCUGCCCUUAGGUUCGGAAUAACUCCCCGAAAGGGGUGCUAAUACCGGAUAAUGUCUUCGGACCAAAGAUUUAUCGCCUUUGGAUGGGCCCGCGUUGGAUUAGCUAGUUGGUAGGGUAAAAGCCUACCAAGGCGACGAUCCAUAGCUGGUCUGAGAGGAUGAUCAGCCACACUGGGACUGAGACACGGCCCAGACUCCUACGAGAGGCAGCAGUGGGGAAUAUUGGACAAUGGGCGAAAGCCUGAUCCAGCAAUGCCGCGUGAGUGAUGAAGGCCUUAGGGUUGUAAAGCUCUUUUACCCGGGAUGAUAAUGACAGUACCGGGAGAAUAAGCUCCGGCUAACUCCGUG
rnacentral:rRNA from 1 species